UGGGGAAUCUUCCGCAAUGGCCGAAAGUCUGACGGAGCAACGCCGCGUGAGUGAUGAAGGAUUUCGGUCUGUAAAGCUCUGUUGUUUAUGACGAACGUGCAGUGUGUGAACAAUGCAUUGCAAUGACGGUAGUAAACGAGGAAGCCACGGCUAACUACGUGCCAGCAGCCGCGGUAAUACGUAGGUGGCGAGCGUUGUCCGGAAUUAUUGGGCGUAAAGAGCAUGUAGGCGGCUUAAUAAGUCGAGCGUGAAAAUGCGGGGCUCAACCCCGUAUGGCGCUGGAAACUGUUAGGCUUGAGUGCAGGAGAGGAAAGGGGAAUUCCCAGUGUAGCGGUGAAAUGCGUAGAUAUUGGGAGGAACACCAGUGGCGAAGGCGCCUUUCUGGACUGUGUCUGACGCUGAGAUGCGAAAGCCAGGGUAGCGAACGGG
rnacentral:rRNA from 1 species